GACCCUGCAGAAUGUGCUGUCUCAGAGCUUUGGAGGUGCUAUUGGGCAGCAGACGUCAGGCAAUGCAGACCAGGAGGGAAUCACAGGGCACGUAUCCUUACCCAGAAGGGCCGAGACAUUUGGAGGCUUUGACAGCCAUCAGAUGAGUGCCACGAAAAGCGGAGAGAAGGAUGAAGUAGAAGAUGGACAGGACCUUCGCAGGACGGAAUCAGACAGUGUUUUAAAAAAGGGGCUGACUGCGAAUCUGAUCCUGCCAAUCAGAAAGAAUGAGGUAAGGCUGAUAUUUUUAAAUAAACCAGAAGGUAUAUUUUAGACAAGAAAAAAAUGAAAUUACACAACUCCCAGUUGAACAAUGAAAUGGUGUCACAAUACCCCAAAGUUAAAUGUCAACUCACUAUUUCUGUAAAACAGAAAUCAUCAUCAUUUUUACUUUCCUGGGUAUUCUCUGGGUAAAGUUGGCGUCCCGAAUCCCACAGUCACCAACUAUCCAUCAAUGAUUCAUCUAAAUGAACUGCUCCCUUGAAGACUCUGCGUGCCAUCUAAUUCGAUGGUUCCCAACCUUUUCAGUAGUAUGACACAUUUCAAUGAGACAGAAAA